GGAAGGCGGAGUCUGGCUGAGUCAGAACUGGAGCAGACAAACCAGCAGCCAGUCAGGAAGUAAGUUUCAGAACCUCAGGGCACUCAAAUGACUUUUCCAGAAAUACCUCAGUGGGUUGCAUAGCUGGGAGAACCACUCGAUCGAGAGCCGAGAGCAGCCUGGAGAAUCUUCACUGCUGUCACACUGUGCACUAAGUCCUGGCAUGAGACCCUGCUGCCUGUCAGGAGAGCCCCUGGCAUCUGCCCCGACAUCUUCAGGUGAGGACAUGAUUAGGGGCAGAUAAUUCAUCUUUCACUUCAGCACCAGCCAAUCAGCUCUCUUCCUGGGCUCUUCCCCAUGACCCGGGCUGUGGCGGGUCUCCAGAGGCCAUGCUCUGGAGCAGGUCCUGAGUAGCAGGGGAGACAAAGAAGAGAGGCAGGUACCCGUCUAGUCUGUAGAAGUGGCCAACCUCAGCCUCAGGCAGGUCACGGUUUCUCCAGGAAUGCCUGGGUGAGAUCGCCUGGCUGUCACCAAGCAUGGCUACUGUAAGCACAGAGGUCUAGACCCUGAGGCCUAGAAAGAGGGUCCUACUUGUUUCUAGAACUCUAGCUGUUUGCCUCCAGGAUCUGUCCACCUCAGUGGACGAACAAAGAUCAUCUCCCCCAGAUGCUCCUUCCGUCCACCCAUCAAGCCGCACGUCCGCUUAUCCACCCACCUACCUGCCCACCACGGCCCUGCGAUUGUGGAGGCAGAGUUGUGUAGGGACAAUCAAGGGAGUCAGUCGUUAAACAAACAUGCCCACAAAACUGAAUGCAGUGUGUGCUAAGUGCCGGGAGAGGCAGUCGGAUGUCUUCAGCAUAACCAAGAUUGUCUCCCCUGGGGGUGCUCUCUGGGCCCCAAGGCAUUUUGAGCAGAAACACUGCAGAGGCAGCCCAUGGGCUUGGCCUCCAGGGACAGAGGCUCCUUCGAAAAUUGGGAAGAGUCAUUUAGGGAGCCAGCUGACUUGCUGCAGCUGCAUGCAGCCCAUGGUGACCUUUGCAAGGAGUUGGGUCCAUGGGUGUGUGGCUGGAGCAGGGGUUAAGUAGGAGGGGGGUCCUUGAAAGUCUGCCCCUGGAGAGCCCUGUUUGGGAGCCAGCCAGCCGGCUCCUGAGCCUUCAGGAGAAAUAAAGAAUGCAGUUAUUUCCGGAGGAGCGACAGCAGGAGCAGACGGCUGGAGGAGGGAACAGCAGGCAGACCAGGAAGGAAGAGUAGAAGAGAAAAGGGGGGAGAUGCAGGUGGGUGCAUGGGAAUUUCAGGGCUCUGGAGGGGGGUGGGGGCUCAGUUCCCACCCUACCCUUGUCACAACAAUAGAUUCCUGGGUCACUAGCCCACCAUGUGCCUAGAAGGAGCCACAUAGUAUCCCAUCCAGGAAAGUCACUUUUGCAUGACCCCAUUAUACAGACUGUAAAAGUGAGGUCAGACAAUAAUUCCGUUGCCAGGGGAGGCAGCAUUAAAUGGAGGACCAGAACAUGAACUCGUGGUGCUCGGUGCCUCACCCCACCCUCGGUCAUUCCCUUGUCAGGCCUGUGAAGUGAUCAGACGUGGAUCGAGGCAGAAUCUGAGCUGGCUCCUUGAGAUUUUGUUUGGCCUUCCUGACAGCCCAAGAGCUCGUGGGCUCCGUCCCCACAGGACAAAUGAGAUCAAGGAAGCACUGCAAACAAGUCAGCACCAUGAGAGCAAAGACCAGGUGCUGAGCACACACCAUGCCAGGAUAGGAAACCUGAGAUGUCUCGGGGAGAGGCACACCUGUACCUCAAGACAGAAACAAAUGGGGAUAGCAAUAGAAUACAGAUAAUGGGGUCCUGGUGGAAGAGCGGGUGAAAGGUGAGGGCAUGGAGGGAGGACUAUGAGACCAGAUGAGACUGCCCUUUCCCCUCCCUCCCUCCAUUUCUAGCUCCCUGGGAAAAGACCCCUUGUCUCCCCUCAAGGAGACUUCCAAAUUCUUUGCCAGGCUGUUGCCUAGCAACAGUGCCCUGACUGACCAGCCCUACCCACUGCGGUCAGUCAGGACCAGGGUUGUACAGCCAGCUCUGAGGGCCUGAUUCCAGGCAGGAAGGGGAACGGGACCCUGGAUACCAGAGGCUGGCCAGGAUGCAGUUGGAGUCUGGGAGCUCAGGGCUUUGUGAGCAGGAAGGGUGGAGCACGGUCAGAAGACACUCAGGAGGGGUUGUGUGCACAGGGAUGAGACCAAAGGACUUACUCUGAAGUCAUGGCUCUGUGUCUAUCUGAAAGAAGCUGAGUCUCCUCCUGGGCUGGUUUCAUUGCUGUAGACGUAGGGGACAAUGCCCAUGUCCCUGAGGAACAAAUGAGGACCAGUCAACACUCGAGGCUCGGUAUUGAGGGAAGAGCUGUCCUCAUAUGGACCAAAAGCUCUCCCAAGGCCUUCAGGAGAUGGUCAGUGACCAGUAAUUGAAAGCUGAGCUUGGGGGCUCUCUGGUAAGAUGGUCCCUGACUGACUCCUCUGGGUGGAGGUAGAGAGGGGAUUGGAAGGAUAUUCCAGGAAGCUGGGUGAAUUUACACAUAAUCUCUCCCGUAGUUACAUGGUUGGAAUUAGAAAUCUCAUAGUUCAGAGAAGGCAAGGGAUCUACCUAGGGUCUUACUCUGAAGACCAGCGACUUGUAGAGCUAAGUCCAACUGGCUUUCCUCAUGCAACCUUAACGUUCAGAAAAGAAAGUGACUUCCGUGGUUGGUCGGGAGGAAAGAGAACCAACCAUGGUGGUAAGGAGGCUGGUGUGGGCCUGAAACCACAGUGAAGGAGUCUGAACUCUAGGCAGGGCCCAGGGGAGCCAUGUCUGAGCUGGGAGAGAAGUGACCCAGGCUGAGUUCGCAGGUCUCUGGGUACUGUCCUGGGCCAUCUGUCGCCACCUCCUACACUUGCGGAGCUCUGCAUCGAUUCACCCCACCCUCCACCCCCGCUGCUUCUCAGGCACUGCGAGGAACCAUGUGCGACGCGGUGGAGAAUGUAAAAAUAUAUAUGCAACCGAAAAACAACAACGGCUCACAGCACACAGCUAUAAAUACUCCGUGGUGCGGAAGCGCAGUCCUCGAGCUGGCUGCCUGCUGCCUGGGGCCCGGCUUCUCUGACAGGGCUCAGAACUACCUCAGGAUUGUGGAGCCAAUUGUGAUGAGCCAGCAUGCCCAUGGAAGCAGUGCUCGCAGCCGGAGGACUUGGAAGGCCUCUCUUGAAGGCUGCAUGGGACUUCCAAAAGUACCGACUGUGUUGUUCUUUCAAAGCCUUUGGUCAAUGUCGACACAGUGGGGAGGCUCUUGUGGAUUAGCUUUUUAUAAUCCCCAAAGCACUUUAGAAUCAUAAAUCGCUUUGGGACCACAGAGUUCCUUGGAGUGCUUUCUAAACUGUUGAGCGCUGUACGAGUCAGACGAGUGGCCUUUCCAAGCACAGACAGGGACUGAAGGUGUAUCUUUGUGGGUGGAGUGCUAGUCCAGCAUACUCAGAGUCCUGGGUUCCACGUACAGCGCUGGGUAAGCCAGGCUUUGUAGUGCAAGCCUGCAGCUCCAGCAUUCAGAAGGCAAAGGCAGGAGGAUCAGAAAUCCAAGGCCCUCCUGCACUACAGAGUGUGUCUGCGGUAGCCUGGGACGUGCGAGACCCUGUAUAUCUUUUUAAAACUGAGCAGGGAGGGGAGCUGAGGGAUGGCUCAGCAGGUACAGGUGCUGCCAGGCCUCAUGACCGGACUCCACUGGCCGGAGGCCACACAGCAGAAGGAAAAAUCCAACUUCUGCAAGCUGUCCUCUGACCUUCACAUGUACACCCCGAUCCACAUCUACACACAUGCACACAACUCAGGUAGAUGUAAGAAAAAUUCUUUUAGGGGUUGGGGAUUUAGCUCAGUGGUAGAGCGCUUGCCUAGGAAGCGCAAGGUCCUGGGUUCGGUCCCCAGCUCCGAAAAAAAAAAAAUUCUGUUAUUUACAAUGUGAGGUGGGAAGAGAAGACGAGCCCAGAGCGUGUUUGCCUCGUGGGGAUGGCGCACACCAUUGAUCCCAGCACUUGGGACGCAGAGGCAGGCAGAUCACCGAGUUUGAGACCAGCCUGGUCUACGGCGCUAGCGCUAGGACAGCCAGGGCUACACAGAGAGAGACUGUCUCAAAAACAAAACAAAACAAACAACCAAACCAGGCACUUGCCCUCCACCAUUGCUGUCAUGUCUGCUGAUCCUGUGCUGAGGCCAGGGAAGUCUGCAUGCUGACUCAGCCAAACGUGUGUGUGUGUGUGUGUGUGUGUGUGUGUGUGUGUGUGUGUCCAGCAGGAACAAACCUUUCCCUUCACCUUAGAAUUUUCUCUCCUCUGCUGUCUAAAUAAAGACAAUGACCUGACUCUUUUUAAAGAUUGCCUUCUUGGCUAUGGGAGACGUGAACACCCAGGCUGUUGGGUAGGACCUGCUCUGUAGAUCCCAUGCAUCAAAGCCAAGGGCAGUCGAAGUUCAUGCCCUGGGUGUCUUCCUCUGAACCACCAAGGGUGAAAAGAAUGCCCUGAGUGAGGAAGCUCCUAGGCCUAAUCUCAGAUCUGCCACCUUCUCAUCUAUAACCCUGGUCAGGAGCCUUCUCCAAACGCGCAUUCCUCAGUAGUUAAUACUUUAUGCCUAUGUGACUGCACGGCCUGGUUCUGUCUCUUCCUCUAACUCCAGGCUUGGCACCUUCUGGCAAGGGUUAAACAGGUCCUAAAUAAGCGUGGCUUUGCUUUGCUUUGCUUUGCUGUUCUGUCUGUCUGUCUGUCUGUCUGUCUGUCUGUCUCUCUCUCUCUCUUUCUCUCUCUGUGUGUGUGUGUGUGUGUCUGUGUGUCUGUGUGUCUGUGUGUCUGUGUGUGUCUGUGUGUCUCUGUCUGAAACUCACCCUGUAGCCCAGGCUGGCCUCACACUCCACCUGCCUCUGCCUCCCAAGUGCUGGGAUUAAAGGCGAUCUCCACCAAAGUUGGUGGCUUUCCUAAGAAUGGUUUUUCAGAACAAGACGACCCUCACCUGGCACCAUGCAGCCCAGGAGGACAGCCUGUACCCAGUGCCACCUCCAGACAUCCAGAGUCCCUGGGUACCACUGAGAUGAGCAGGUCAGUGAUGGAGAAAUGGAAGAGAAGGAGAAGCAAAACAUUUUGUGCACAAUGGAGAUGAAACUAGAGAACAGGAUGAACAGACUGGUGAGAGGGGCAGGUGAUGCCACCUGAGGACAUGGGGAGGUCCUGGCCAGCUUCCCCGUGGGCCAAGUCUGUGGCCCUACAGCUGCAGGGGUCUGUCACCACCAAAGGCUAUGCAGACACCCCUGAUCUGCUGCCAGGGGCCAUUUGAUGUUUGAUGGUUGUGCAGAGAUGGCCCCACUACUUACCUGCUGCUGCGCUCAGGACAAUGCCACCCCCACCCGGACCUGGAACCUCAUCUGGGCAGACAGUAGAGCUGGCCCUGGUAGCAUGAGUGUGAGAGAGUUGACAGGCUCACCCAUUCAACUUCUGCUCAAAUCCAGGGUUGGAAGUUGGCCCACUCCUACAUCUACCCUGUCUGUGAAUGAGCUGGAGCUUGUGGAAGGGCCGUCCUGCAGAUUUAAAGCUGGGGGAUCUCCAUGAUCUAGGGUAUAAGAUAUCCAGGAGGAGUCCCAGUGAGAAUCCAGGAUGGAUAGCACAGCCAAAGCCAGAGGCCUAAAACCAGACCAAUGAUUCACUGCAAAGAUCAUUUGUAAAAAAAGCUAUUUGGACAAAAGGGUGUCCUGUGUGAAAAGCCCAGACACCCUGCAGCUUCCUCGGUGAGAUUUCUGUUUGCUUGCUUUUGGGGGAAGGUUGCAAGGGCGAAGGGUGGAUAUGGAAGGAAAGGGAGAUGAUCCACUCAUCACUGAGGUGCAUGAUGUGAAAUCCACAAAAAAAAAAAAUCAAUAAAGAAAAAGAAGACUCAGUUUCUAAUUUUA